rnacentral:rRNA from 1 species
UACGUAGGGUGCAAGCGUUGUCCGGAAUUAUUGGGCGUAAAGAGCUCGUAGGCGGUCUGUCGCGUCGGCUGUGAAAACUCGGGGCUCAACUCCGAGCUUGCAGUCGAUACGGGCAGGCUAGAGUUCGGCAGGGGAGACUGGAAUUCCUGGUGUAGCGGUGAAAUGCGCAGAUAUCAGGAGGAACACCUGUGGCGAAAGCGGCGCACUGGACCAUAACUGACGCUGAGGCGCGAAAGCUAGGGGAGCAAACAGG